GGAGAGGUUCGAAAAGAUGUCGUCGAAGGUCGGACGUCAGUAGAAUCCCGGGAGGAUCACUCCUGACACAAACUUUGGCUGGGGGGUAUUUUAUACCCAACACCAGUCCCCCUACUUUCGAGUUCGAAUUUCGAAUGAAGGAAGUAUAGAGAAGUUGUUACAACCAAAGUUGCCCCCUUGAAUUCUGUGCACGAUCGUCCUCAGAAAUC
rnacentral:lncRNA from 1 species